CCAUUGGAGGAUGAAGAACUAAUAGCUUACAUGCUACGCGGCCUUGGAUCUGAAUAUGAUCCUUUGGUGAUGAGUAUCACCACACGCACUGACACUAUCAACAUUAGUGAUGUAUAUGCACACAUGAUGAGUUAUGAGC